rnacentral:rRNA from 1 species
UAGGGAAUCUUCCGCAAUGGACGAAAGUCUGACGGAGCAACGCCGCGUGAGUGAUGAAGGUUUUCGGAUCGUAAAGCUCUGUUGUUAGGGAAGAACAAGUGCCGUUCAAAUAGGGCGGCACCUUGACGGCACCUAACCAGAAAGCCACGGCUAACUACGUGCCAGCAGCCGCGGUAAUACGUAGGUGGCAAGCGUUGUCCGGAAUUAUUGGGCGUAAAGGGCUCGCAGGCGGUUUCUUAAGUCUGAUGUGAAAGCCCCCGGCUCAACCGGGGAGGGUCAUUGGAAACUGGGGAACUUGAGUGCAGAAGAGGAGAGUGGAAUUCCACGUGUAGCGGUGAAAUGCGUAGAGAUGUGGAGGAACACCAGUGGCGAAGGCGACUCUCUGGUCUGUAACUGACGCUGAGGAGCGAAAGCGUGGGGAGCGAACA